CCAAGAUGAAUUUGUGCCACAACUCAUGGCAGCAGCUGUUGGGGUUCUGCACCCCCAGCAGCNGUUGCUGUUUAGAAGGCCAAUCCCAUGUCAGGAAUCAUUAAGAAAAGAAUGAAAAUAUUAUUAUAACNGGAGGUUUAAGAAUACAAAGUAAACUCUAGUUGCUGUACCUCAAAGCAGAUGUCCCAAAGUUAUAAAACAGAGAUGGGCAACAAAAACAAUCCAUGCACUACAACAGGCUACCUAAGAUUACAACCCUGGGCCUAGGGACCAGUUUUUACGUGGUGGGGGUAAUUAAGGGAGGGACCCACCCGACAGAGGCGGGUGUGAGGAGGGCAGGGCAUUUCCCCCCUCCCCAGCACCUUGGGGAGGGCUUGUGGGCUCCUUCCUAGCCCUGGUGGUGGUACCUUGUGGUGGGGCUGCCCAGAACCUGGAGGGCAACUGACGGGGGGCAGGCGCUCUUGCUCUGUCCUGACGGUUCUGGUGCAGGUACGGGGGGGGGGCAGAGGGGGGGAGGCUGCCACAAACUAGCCCCGCCGUGGUUCUUCCACAGCUAAGGUUCAUGACUUUUGGGGGGGGCAGGGGUGUUGACGGCCAGCAACCAGACAGAUGCCCACCGCCCCCACUAGGGCCUUCAGAUCCGCCUGGCUGGCCCCAAGGCCCACUCCCCGGCCGGCAGCGGACGCAAUGGUUGCAUGCCGCAGAGGGGCUCCUGAAGGGGCAUCCAUCCACGGCGCCCCCUCCCUCCCGCUGNUCUUCGCUGCCACCUGCUGCAAAGACCUCCGUCGCAAGGAGCCAAAACGAAAGUCGAGCAAGCCACGUCAGGGAGAACGGACGAGGGCGAAGAGGAGGCUCCCCUCAUCCGGCAGCAAGAAGACAAAGCGCCCCCGCCCCCGCUCCGUCCCGGCUCUCCUCCUGCUGCUCCUGCUCNCCCCGGGCGAGCGGCCGCGCGGGUCAAAGGGCGGCGGAGAUGGAUGGGCCUGUCCGGGAGGACAGGUUCCAACAAUUCAAAUGCAUAGCAAUAGCAACUGAAAGCAGUUAAAACAGUACGGUGUCUAGAGGCGGAGGAGAAAUUUAUCACCUUGGCUGGGACUGAGGCAACCUAGAGUUCAAAAUGGCUGUGCCAGCCACUGCUGAUGACAGCUGGAAUCCCAAACAUCUGGUAGACCACAGGUGGGUGAAGGCUAGCUCAGCCCUCCUCUCUCAGUGUUUUCCAGCUGCCUGUCUUCC
ensembl:lncRNA